rnacentral:rRNA from 1 species
GGUCAGGAUGAACGCUGGCGGCGUGCCUAAUACAUGCAAGUCGAGCGAGGGUAGCAAUACCCGAGCGGCGAACGGGUGAGUAACACGUAGGUAACCUGCCUUUGAGACUGGGAUACCCGGACGAAAGUUCGGCUAAUACCGGGUAACAACGGGGACGGCAUCGUCUCCGCUUGAAAGGUGCGUUUGCACCACUCUUAGAUGGACCUGCGGCACAUUAGCUAGUUGGUGAGGUAACGGCCCACCAAGGCGAAGAUGUGUAGCCGACCUGAGAGGGUGAACGGCCACAAUGGAACUGAGACACGGUCCAUACUCCUACGGGAGGCAGCAGUAGGGAGUUUUCGGCAAUGGGGGAAACCCUGACCGAGCAACGCCGCGUGAAGUGAGAAGGUCUUCGGAUUGUAAAGCUCUGUUACGAGGGACGAAUGACGAGUUCAGGAAAUGGGAUUCGUUUGACGGUACCUCGCCAGAAAGUGACGGCUAACUACGUGCCAGCCGCCGC